rnacentral:rRNA from 1 species
UACAGAGGUCUCAAGCGUUGUUCGGAUUCAUUGGGCGUAAAGGGUGCGUAGGCGGCGCGGUAAGUCGGGUGUGAAAUCUUGGAGCUUAACUCCGAAACUGCAUUCGAUACUGCCGUGCUUGAGGACUGGAGAGGAGACUGGAAUUUACGGUGUAGCGGUGAAAUGCGUAGAUAUCGUAAGGAAGACCAGUGGCGAAGGCGGGUCUCUGGACAGUUCCUGACGCUGAUGCGCGACAGCGUGGGGAGCAAACAGG